UGCGCCUAUUUAACAAUUAUGCAGCUGGGU
rnacentral:piRNA from 1 species